rnacentral:rRNA from 1 species
GACGAACGCUGGCGGCGUGCUUAACACAUGCAAGUCGAACGGAAAGGCCCCUUUGGGGGUACUCGAGUGGCGAACGGGGGAGUAACACGUGAGUAACCUGCCCUUGACUUCGGGAUAACUUCAGGAAACUGGGGCUAAUACCGGAUAGGAAUCCUUGCUGCAUGGUGGGGGUUGGAAAGCUUCGGCGGUUUUGGAUGGACUCGCGGCUUAUCAGCUUGUUGGUGGGGUAGUGGCUUACCAAGGCUUUGACGGGUAGCCGGCCUGAGAGGGCGACCGGCCACAUUGGGACUGAGAUACGGCCCAGACUCCUACGGGAGGCAGCAGUGGGGAAUAUUGCACAAUGGGCGGAAGCCUGAUGCAGCAACGCCGCGUGCGGGAUGACGGCCUUCGGGUUGUAAACCGCUUUCAGCAGGGGCGAAGCUUUUGUGACGGUACCUGCAGAAGAAGCACCGGCUAACUACGUG